rnacentral:lncRNA from 1 species
CAAAAAUAGUUUAAUUAAAAUAAUAACAUUGGAAGUUAUAGAUUAAAAUGAUGUUUUAUUUUUUGA